AGAGUUUGAUCCUGGCUCAGGAUGAACGCUAGCGACAGGCUUAACACAUGCAAGUCGAGGGGCAGCGGGGGCGUAGCAAUAUGCCUGCCGGCGACCGGCGCACGGGUGAGUAACACGUAUGUAACCUGCCCUAUGCAGGGGGAUAACCCGGAGAAAUCCGGCCUAAUACCGCGUAACACCUUAGGGGAGCAUUCUCUUGAGGUUAAAGGAGAGAUCCGGCAUAGGAUGGACAUGCGUCGCAUUAGGUAGACGGCGGGGUAACGGCCCACCGUGCCGACGAUGCGUAGGGGUUCUGAGAGGAAGGCCCCCCACACUGGUACUGAGACACGGACCAGACUCCUACGGGAGGCAGCAGUGAGGAAUAUUGGUCAAUGGCCGAGAGGCUGAACCAGCCAAGUCGCGUGAGGGAAGAAUGUCCUAAGGAUUGUAAACCUCUUUUGUCGGGGAGCAAAAAGGCUCUGCGGAGUCGUAUUGAGAGUACCCGAAGAAAAAGCAUCGGCUAACUCCGUGCCAGCAGCCGCGGUAAUACGGAGGAUGCGAGCGUUAUCCGGAUUUAUUGGGUUUAAAGGGUGCGCAGGCGGCGUGUCAAGCAAGCGGUAAAAUAGCGGGGCUCAACCCCGUCGAGCCGUUUGAACUGGCGCGCUUGAGUUCAGGCGAGGUAGGCGGAAUUCGUGGUGUAGCGGUGAAAUGCAUAGAUAUCACGAAGAACUCCGAUUGCGAAGGCAGCUUACCAGUCUGCGACUGACGCUCAGGCACGAAAGUGUGGGUAUCGAACAGGAUUAGAUACCCUGGUAGUCCACACAGUAAACGAUGAGCGCUAGGUGUCCGGGUCGCAUGAGACUUGGGUGCCCGAGCGAAAGCGUUAAGCGCUCCACCUGGGGAGUACGCCGGCAACGGUGAAACUCAAAGGAAUUGACGGGGGCCCGCACAAGCGGAGGAACAUGUGGUUUAAUUCGAUGAUACGCGAGGAACCUUACCCGGGCUCAAACGACUCAGGAAUAUAUUGGAAACGAUGUAGCCAGCAAUGGUCUGAGUCGAGGUGCUGCAUGGUUGUCGUCAGCUCGUGCCGUGAGGUGUCGGCUUAAGUGCCAUAACGAGCGCAACCCCUACCGCCAGUUGCCAACGGGUAAAGCCGGGAACUCUGGCGGGACUGCCGGCGCAAGCUGUGAGGAAGGCGGGGAUGACGUCAAAUCAGCACGGCCCUUACGUCCGGGGCGACACACGUGUUACAAUGGCAGGUACAGCGGGAAGCCACCUGGUGACAGGGAGCGGAACCCGAAAGCCUGUCUCAGUUCGGAUUGGAGUCUGCAACUCGACUCCAUGAAGCUGGAUUCGCUAGUAAUCGCGCAUCAGCCAUGGCGCGGUGAAUACGUUCCCGGGCCUUGCACACACCGCCCGUCAC
rnacentral:rRNA from 1 species